rnacentral:sRNA from 1 species
GAAAAAUGGACCAAAACGCAAUAAAAAAGAUGAAUGAAAACUUCAAACUGCAAAUGGCAAUUUUUAGUCAG